GCUCCGGUGGUCUAGUGGUUAGAGCAUCUGCCUCAGAUGCAGGAGGUCAUGGAUUCGAUUCCCGUUCGAGUCA